CCGUGCAAAGUCGCGACGCUCCCUCCGCCCCGACUCGCUCCUACGCGCACAGCCCCCAGGUGAGACCUGGGUCCUCUCCCAGGUCCUGAGGUCGGGACAGUCUUCCCAGGCGCGUGCGGCUCCGUGGCUCAACGGCGCCACCUGAAGGCUGAAAGGAAGCUUCUGACGAACCCCCCUCCCUUUCCUUGCUCUUUGUGGGACAGUGAGGUGCACAGUCCAAGGGCCUAGAUUAAGGCGGCAUGAAGAGAGGGACCCAGAGCACGAAAGUGAAGGUGACACUCCGCCUCUGAAGGCCCAGGACAAGCCCCGAGGGAAGUUUGGUCCGGAGAUCAUGGAGUUUCCACGAACACUUGGAGGCCAGCUCACCUGCAUGUCCUCAGCGAGGUCAUCUCACCUCUGUGAGCCUCGGGGCUCACCUCUGUCAGUGGGAUCAUGAAAAUGCGGGCUUGGGGGGCUUUCAGAAGAUCGGACGGGUUCGGACACCUGGAAAGAAAGGCAGAAGAGGAUGUCCUGUCCUGACUCCUUAGCCACCUCAUGGGAGAGCCUGACACGUCCUGCUCCGAAGGCCUGUGCGGUCCCUGCCAAGCAGGAUGCCAGAGGCCUUCCUGGAGACUGAGGGCCUGCGCCUUUGAGGCCGGGGUGGUGGAGACUUGGGAGGGACCUCGGGAAUGGGGAGGCUUCAGUCUCUCCCUGCCUUCGGAGGUCUGGCCUCCUGUUCCGGACUCUGCGGGGAAGCUAGGUGUGUGGCCAGACUCCCGCGUGUCUCCCAGCACUGCCACAACCCUGGGUGGUCUCAUCUGUGGAAUGGACGGAGUAAGGACUCUGCUGAUUGGUUGAGACCUCAGCGUAAAGCGCUCCCAGGCCCCUCCCAUAGUCAUGCGCAGUCCUGCCCCAGAGCUUUUAUCUUUGCUGUUGCCUGUUCCCAGAACAUUCUAUGGCCUGAUAGCCCCAGAGCUUGCUCCCCAACUCCCUUUAAGUCCUUGGUCGGAUGCCCCCGUCUCAGAGACUCCCUCUCAGACCAUCCUUUUAAAACCAGCACUGCCCCAGCAUCCCUUACUCCUUAAGUCUGAAUUUUUCUCCGUAGCAUUGAUCAACGCCUGCCAAGAGCUUAUUUGUUUGUUUUUUGUCACCUCCGCUAAAAAGUAAGUACCGGAGGCAGAAGCUUUGCCUGUUUCCCGCUCUCCUGUAUCCUGCAGACUCGAAAAGAGGCCAACUCAUAGAAGGUCCCUGAUAAAUACUUAUUAAAUGAGGAAUGAAGCAAGUGAGCCCAUAUUUACUUAGAGUGCCUGUUAUAUACUGGUUAACUAAGGAAACUUCAGCCGUACCCUCAAGAAGCUCAUAUUCUACUGGGAGAAAAGGGCAAGAAAAUGUAACACCUCUUCCGUCGUAAAUGUCAUAAAGCAAAAGCAGGCAGUGCUGUGCCAAGCCUGGGGCAGGGUGCCGACCUAGUCCCAGAGAUGGGGAUGGAUCCCCUGCAGAAGCAAGGAUUGGGCUGAGGUCCAAAGGAUGAAGAGGGCCAGCCAGAUAAAGAGGGCAGGGAAAAGAGGCCUGCCUAGCAGAGGGUCUGGCAUGCGCAAAGGCCCUGAGAGAGAAGUAGGAUGGCUUGAGGCUUGGCAGAGGUGGUUGCCAAGGAGAAACAUGGAAGGAGAUGAGGCUGGACUGUCGUCGGCAAGCCAGGUGGUUGCAGAACUCCUAGGCCACGGAGUUUGUUCUUACCCACAGAGCAGUGGGAACCACUGAUGCCCCUGCCAGGAUGCAGACCUGAUGGCUGGAACUUGUGUAGCCAUCUUGGUCCAUGAGAUGGAAGCAUGUAAGGAUGGAAGAGCAACAAAAUUGAAGGAAUCUGGAUACCAGAUGACCAAUGCGACUACCAACUUAGGAUAAUUUCCAUACUUUUAUUUGUGAGAGAAAUAAACUCCUAUGUUCUAUAAACUA